rnacentral:sRNA from 1 species
CCCUAGCCCUGAUGGAAAUGGAAAGCCCGGAGUCCCGAUGGCUUACAUUUUUUGUGCAGGCAAAGCGACCAAAGGAAGCUCUUGCCGGCACUUAAAAAUGUUGCCAUCGGGACGAGGACUUGAAAUGAACAGCAGGAAGAAGC